rnacentral:rRNA from 1 species
CUGGGUUUGACAUGGAUCGGGAGYGCUCAGAGAUGGGUGUGCCUCUUUUGGGGUCGGUUCACAGGUGGUGCAUGGCUGUCGUCAGCUCGUGUCGUGAGAUGUUGGGUUAAGUCCCGCAACGAGCGCAACCCUUGUUCACUGUUGCCAGCACGUUAUGGUGGGGACUCAGUGGAGACCGCCGGGGUCAACUCGGAGGAAGGUGGGGAUGACGUCAAGUCAUCAUGCCCCUUAUGUCCAGGGCUUCACGCAUGCUACAAUGGCUGGUACAGAGAGUGGCGAGCCUGUGAGGGUGAGCGAAUCUCGGAAAGCCGGUCUCAGUUCGGAUUGGGGUCUGCAACUCGACCUCAUGAAGUCGGAGUCGCUAGUAAU